UGUGAAAAUGUGAACUAAAAUAUAAAAUGAUUAAAGUUUUUAAGCUGAAUAAAUGUCCAUAUAUCGGUUGAUGAAUGUCAACAUGCGGCAUUCUCUUACAGCUCCUGAGCAGACUUUGAUCUGUGGUUAGCAAUAGCCUGCAUGAGCAGCAUCUCUUGCAGCUCCUGUGGCAUGAGCAGAUCCUGUGGAAUGAGGGUAUCAGAUUUCCUCCGUAAUACCAUCACCCCCUAAAGGUCAGCCAUCUGUGAAGGCAGUUUGAAAUUGGUGUGUGAAACUCCUCAUACAGGGUAAAUAUAACCAUAAAGAUGUCCAUGAUGUUUCUCAAUUGUCAAAACCUCCUGUAUCCCUCUAAAAGACCUAAAGUCUGCUGCUCUUUCUAAAGAUUCCUUGCUGCUCAAUCAUCUGUGAAGGCAGUUUGAAAUUGGCAUGUGAAACUCCUCACAUGGGGUAAAUAUAACCAUAAAGAUGUCCAUGGCAUAUAAUUACAAUUACUGUCUUUAACGCAGAGCCAGAUGUCAAAUGUACUUGAAGUUUCUGUGUGAAGCUCCAUGUGUGAGAUUUGUACAAUAAACAUCAUAAAUGAUGAGAAAAAGAAGUAAAAGAAAUAAGUUAAAUCUCAGAGGCUAAUCUCUGCACCAAAUACACACCAAACACACACCCACACACACACAGAGGAGCCAGAAGGUCAAGAGGUCAACCCUUGUUUUCACAUAGGCAUCCUAUAAAGACAGGGGUACCUACUGAAAGACAGAUAUCAAAGUGAGACGCAGAGAGCAGGAAGACUUCUGACAUCUGACAACUAAAAAUGGCUCAAGCAACUGUGACUCUAAACGGAGGGCUGAACCUUCAAGCAGAGGAGUCUGAGUCAUCAACUGACAUCUCAACAUCCGAGACCUCAUCUGAUACUGACUCAUCUGUGCAUUCAGAGGACGUGGUAUUACCCAGUGAGUUGCUACAUUUUUUUUUUUUUUUACCUAAAACUUACACAGAAUAUUUAUCAAAAACUCAUGCUAGAUCUGUGGGGCGGGUUUGGACCAAUAUUUCCAAGAAGGGCUAUCGCCAUCAUCACAGCCACAGGAAGACACAACUGGGAAUGCCACAGGCGGUCAAAACAUUAAACAUUCUCUAGAGGCUGUCCGGUUAACCGGAGGAGAUCCGGGGGAUGUGAUACCGCAUCAAAAUUUUGAAGAACAACCGCCAUUUCACCAGGAGUCUGUCUCAACCACUAAUCAACCGCUGAUGGCUGUGGAGAGGUCUAGGCGUCAACCAGUGGACAGAGAUCAGGAUUCUCAUCGGGUCGCAACCACAGGAGAACCAGUUCCAGUUCUGAGAAUCCACACCUGAGAUCCCGCAGGGCUUCCAGCGAAGGAUUUCCAUUGGCACGCUCAAACAGACCCAGGUCCAGACCAUCCAGGUGCCCUCAGUGUUGCAGAACUACAUGCCAGCAAAUGGAUCUGAUGUCUAGAGCCUUUUGGCUCAUCUGUCUGAAACAGUUUAAAAAUUGUCACUGUGUACACCUAAUUUCUGACGGUGAUUUUUAUCAUGUGGAUAAAUUGCAAUGAUGUUGAUUUAAGGUUUUUGUUGGAACAAAAUGUAUAUAAGUUAUGCCAUUUAUGUUUUAUUCUCAGUAGCUCGCUAUAAAGUUCAGCUAAGUGCUGUGUGUGUGUGUUAUUAACCUUGUGCUGUGAGAAAACAGGAAUCACUCCCUGCCCGCACCAGAUGGUCUGAGGAGAUGUGGUUGAUCUUAAGGCCGCUCUCACGAGAUAAACCUGACAACACCGCUUUGUUUUUUAUGUAGCAGUAUGCACUUCCCCCACUCCUUAGCAAACUAUGUAACAGGGAAAACUCCCUAAACUGAAUAAAGAGAGGAGGCUGCAUAGAUGCACUUCAGAGUGAGUAGGA